rnacentral:SRP_RNA from 1 species
GCCAGGUGUGGUGGCUCACACCUGUAAUCCCAGCACUUUGGGAGGCCGAGGUGGGUGGAUCACCUGAGGUCAGGAGUUCGAGACCAGCCUGGCCAAUAUGGUGAAACCCCGUCUCUA